rnacentral:ncRNA from 1 species
AUAACUGGCUUGUGGCGGCCAAGCGUUCGCAGCGACGUCGCUUUUUGAUCCUUCGAUGUCGGCUCUUCCUAUCAUUGCGAAGCAGAAUUCGCAAAGCGUUGGAUUAUCACCCACUAACGGGGAACGUGAGCCGAGUUUAGACCGUCGUGAGACAGGUU